rnacentral:tRNA from 1 species
GGAGAUGAUCCGAAUUGGAAAGGAGCCUGUCUUGAAAACAGGCGCGCGCAAGCGUUGCAGGUUCGAGUCCAUGCCAUCUCCGCCA